UCUCAACAAAAGGAGUGGUUCUGGGGACA
rnacentral:piRNA from 1 species